rnacentral:rRNA from 1 species
ACAGCAGUAGCCGCGGUAAUACGGAGGGUGCAAGCGUUAAUCGGAAUUACUGGGCGUAAAGCGCACGCAGGCGGUCUGACAAGUCAGAUGUGAAAUCCCCGGGCUUAACCUGGGAACUGCAUUUGAAACUGUCAGGCUGGAGUCUUGUAGAUGGGGGUGGAAUUCCAGGUGUAGCGGUGAAAUGCGUAGAGAUCUGGAGGAAUACCGGUGGCGAAGGCGGCCCCCUGGACAAAGACUGACGCUCAGGUGCGAAAGCGUGGGGAGCAAACAGGAUUAGAUACCCCUGUAGUCCCUGUCUCUUAUAC